rnacentral:rRNA from 1 species
GACGAACGCUGGCGGCGUGCUUAACACAUGCAAGUCGAACGGAAAGGCCCUGCUUUUGUGGGGUUCUCGAGUGGCGAACGGGUGAGUAACACGUGAGUAUCCUGCUCUUGUCUUUGGGAUAACUUCAGGAAACUGGGGCUAAUACCGGACAGGAUAUCCUGCUGCAGGGUGGGGGUUGGAAAGUUUCGGCGGUUGGGGAUGGACUCGCGGCUUAUCGGCUUGUUGGUGGGGUAGUGGCUUACCAAGGCUUUGAAGGGUAGCCGGCCUGGGAGGGUGAACGGCGACAAGGGGACUGAGAUACGGAGCAGACUCCAACGGGAGGCAGCAGUGGGGAAUAUUGCACAAUGGGCGGAAGCCUGAGGCGGCAACGCCGCGUGCGUGAUGACGGCCUUCGGGUUGUGAACCGCUUUCGCCUGUGACGAAGCGUGAGUGACGGUAAUGGGUAAAGAAGCACCGGCUAACUACGUG